UUAGAGUUUGAUCCUGGCUCAGGACGAACGCUGGCGGCGUGCUUAACACAUGCAAGUCGAACGAUGAUGCCCAGCUUGCUGGGCGGAUUAGUGGCGAACGGGUGAGUAGCACGUGAGUAACCUGCCCCUGACUCUGGGAUAAGCGUUGGAAACGACGUCUAAUACUGGAUAUGAUCACCGGCCGCAUGGUCUGGUGGUGGAAAGAUUUUUUGGUUGGGGAUGGACUCGCGGCCUAUCAGCUUGUUGGUGAGGUAAUGGCUCACCAAGGCGACGACGGGUAGCCGGCCUGAGAGGGUGACCGGCCACACUGGGACUGAGACACGGCCCAGACUCCUACGGGAGGCAGCAGUGGGGAAUAUUGCACAAUGGGCGAAAGCCUGAUGCAGCAACGCCGCGUGAGGGAUGACGGCCUUCGGGUUGUAAACCUCUUUUAGUAGGGAAGAAGCGAAAGUGACGGUACCUGCAGAAAAAGCACCGGCUAACUACGUGCCAGCAGCCGCGGUAAUACGUAGGGUGCAAGCGUUGUCCGGAAUUAUUGGGCGUAAAGAGCUCGUAGGCGGUUUGUCGCGUCUGCUGUGAAAUCCCGAGGCUCAACCUCGGGCUUGCAGUGGGUACGGGCAGACUAGAGUGCGGUAGGGAGAUUGGAAUUCCUGGUGUAGCGGUGGAAUGCGCAGAUAUCAGGAGGAACACCGAUGGCGAAGGCAGAUCUCUGGGCCGUAACUGACGCUGAGGAGCGAAAGCAUGGGGAGCGAACAGGAUUAGAUACCCUGGUAGUCCAUGCCGUAAACGUUGGGCGCUAGAUGUAGGGACCUUUCCACGGUUUCUGUGUCGUAGCUAACGCAUUAAGCGCCCCGCCUGGGGAGUACGGCCGCAAGGCUAAAACUCAAAGGAAUUGACGGGGGCCCGCACAAGCGGCGGAGCAUGCGGAUUAAUUCGAUGCAACGCGAAGAACCUUACCAAGGCUUGACAUACACCGGAAACGGCCAGAGAUGGUCGCCCCCUUGUGGUCGGUGUACAGGUGGUGCAUGGUUGUCGUCAGCUCGUGUCGUGAGAUGUUGGGUUAAGUCCCGCAACGAGCGCAACCCUCGUUCUAUGUUGCCAGCGGGUUAUGCCGGGGACUCAUAGGAGACUGCCGGGGUCAACUCGGAGGAAGGUGGGGAUGACGUCAAAUCAUCAUGCCCCUUAUGUCUUGGGCUUCACGCAUGCUACAAUGGCCGGUACAAAGGGCUGCGAUACCGUAAGGUGGAGCGAAUCCCAAAAAGCCGGUCUCAGUUCGGAUUGAGGUCUGCAACUCGACCUCAUGAAGUCGGAGUCGCUAGUAAUCGCAGAUCAGCAACGCUGCGGUGAAUACGUUCCCGGGCCUUGUACACACCGCCCGUCAAGUCAUGAAAGUCGGUAACACCCGAAGCCGGUGGCCUAACCCUUGUGGAAGGAGCCGUCGAAGGUGGGAUCGGUGAUUAGGACUAAGUCGUAACAAGGUAACC
rnacentral:rRNA from 1 species